CUUGCACUCAACAACAGCUUCAGCUGCCCGCCUAGGCUUGUUUUUUCGCCUGCUUCCAUUUUGUCGAAAUCCAAUACUAACUAUUGAAUCAUCAGAACUCAAUUUGGUUCCAACACCAUUUCCCUCUUUUGCUGAAUCUGUAUUUUCUUUGGUAUGUGCAGGCCUCUUCCUCUUGCGUCCAUUUUCCAUGGCAGCCUGAUUUUUCACAUCUUCAGAAGAAAUGGAAUCCUUUGCAUCCUUGCCAUCUUCUUGUAUCUCCACAGUUUCUUCUUCUUCUUCAUUGUCAUCCUUCAAUGGUUUUGUUGGCCUUCCUCUUCUUCUAUAAGCAGGAGCUUUUUCUUCUUCACCACUGCCAGGAUCUUCAUGUGAAGCAAUAACAGUCUGCUUCUUCGCUUUCCCUCUUCCCCUUCCCAUUGUCUGAAGUUAUUUGAAGUUGCUUGAAAGAAGAACAACUAAAGAUUCCUGCAAAUAUGACCAGAUAGAGUCCAAAAUCAUCAGUCAAAACAAAAAUGAACAGCAAAAUUAUAAAGCUCGUAAAACCACAAUAUAAACCAUUUUGCCACAACCAAAAAGGAUAAGAAAUUCAAUAUGACAUCAACUGAUAAUGAGAGCUAUUCAUCAUAUGAGCCAAACCUAAGGAUCUGUUUGGAUGAGGGCGAGGGAGGAAUAAAUAAAAGUAAGGAGUAACAAUUAAUUAUUUUAUUCUUGUUUUGAAAAGAGGUGAGUUAACAGAAAGAGAGGUGAGUUAUGGGAGAUAAGGGCAAAUAAGGGUAAGCCUUUCCCUCUCUUAUCCCUCAAAUCUCAAUUUUUUUUUUAUACUCCAUAUAUAUGAUAUAUACCCUUACCCCUCAAAUCUCAAUUUCUUUUAUACUCCAUAUAUAUAUGGUAUAUAUGGGAUGUAAGAGGGUAAAGAAGAAGAGAGUAUAAUUACAAAUAUUUCUAUUUCUACACCUCUUAAUUUUUCUUCUCCUUCACCUCUUCCCAGACAUGAAGAAUAUACAAUUUUUUCUCUACUUAACCUCUUCUCAGAAAUGAAAAAUAUAUAUUAUACCUCCUUACCUUUCUAUAAAUUAACUCAUCCUCAAACAUAAAUUUUUUUUUUUAUCCUAACUCUCUUACCCUAUCCCUUGGUUACCUUUGUUAUCAUUCCAUCAUUUAACUUCGCUCACUUCAUCCAAACAUACCAAACCGACCCUAAAUGUACACCUUGAUAAACAUAAAAAAUCAUCAACUCAAUUCAACUCAAUUAAACAUUUACUCACACUUUAUCCUCUCUAGAUGAUUUUGGGUUAAAUGUCAACCUCACUGAAACCGAAGGCACACAAACUGAAUUAGUUUUACUUUUAUUUGAUUAAUCUUUUAAAGAAACAGCUUAUCCAUACCAAAAUGAUCCACUACGUUCGGUUAACUGGAGGAUUUGAUUCCUACGGCCCCAGACUAGUCAAAAUUCUAAAUUUUAAAUUCUUUUUGCCUACCUUCUUCCUUGGGAAAAGAAUCAAAGCUUUACCGAAGAUCCUUCCUGAAAAUGGCAAAACCAUGAGAUAUUAGAGAGAUGUAGUGUGAAAGAACCAGACAAUAUUCAGGGACAAAAACAAAAAUUAUGCUUCGUUUUUCAAAAAACCGAGGGGAACAAAACCCAAAUCUUCCAUCCUAUCUGCCGAAAAUGAAAGCGUUUCUCUCCUCAUAUGCUAAUCAGAGAGAAACCCAAGAUUCAAACAUAAUAUAUAUCGUUUUACCACUUCAAUUUCCGCAACCAAAUAAAAAAUUUAGGCACAAUAUUAAGGAACAUAAGCAUUUCCAUCAAACAUCAUAUUAUAUAGGGGGAAUAAGAAGAAGAAGAAGAAGACCUCAUAAAACAUAUCCAUUACUUGCAUCUUUGUUGAAAAAGAAACCACUUAUCAGAAUCUAAUCUUCCAAAUCAAGAAACUACCAAAAACCCCCAGAAAUAAAUGGGUUUUCGUUGGUUUUCAAAAGAAAGCAGCCAAGAGCAACAAAAUGGUGAAAAUAAUGAUCUGAAUGGGAAUUUAAGCAUAACCCAGAUCAGAAACGAUAUGAUUCAAGAGAAGUAGCAGCAAAAAGAUUGAGACUUUAAAGAGUUCAUCAAGUUUGCGAGCUUAAAUGAAGUGGAGGCUAAGCGAGAACCAGAUACAACAACUGUUCAAGAAAGAAGUGAUGAGAGGAAAA
rnacentral:misc_RNA from 1 species